UCCUGACUGACCGAUAGUGAACCAGUACCGUGAGGGAAAGGCGAAAAGAACCCCGGCGAGGGGAGUGAAAAAGAACCUGAAACCGUGUACGUACAAGCAGUGGGAGCACGCUUAGGCGUGUGACUGCGUACCUUUUGUAUAAUGGGUCAGCGACUUAUAUUCUGUAGCAAGGUUAACCGAAUAGGGGAGCCGAAGGGAAACCGAGUCUUAACUGGGCGUUAAGUUGCAGGGUAUAGACCCGAAACCCGGUGAUCUAGCCAUGGGCAGGUUGAAGGUUGGGUAACACUAACUGGAGGACCGAACCGACUAAUGUUGAAAAAUUAGCGGAUGACUUGUGGCUGGGGGUGAAAGGCCAAUCAAACCGGGAGAUAGCUGGUUCUCCCCGAAAGCUAUUUAGGUAGCGCCUCGUGAAUUCAUCUCCGGGGGUAGAGCACUGUUUCGGCAAGGGGGUCAUCCCGACUUACCAACCCGAUGCAAACUGCGAAUACCGGAGAAUGUUAUCACGGGAGACACAC
rnacentral:rRNA from 1 species